UGAGCAGCCUGGAGGUCCAUGAAGAAGGAUCCCACGGACAGGUGAUACUCCCAGCCUUGAAAACGCAGCAGAAUGUUUUAAAGGCCACUCAACAGCUUGCUGUAGCUUUUUCUGUUCCACAUAUGGAGACGUCGUCAGAGUUGCAAGCAGUGCUGGAGUCAAAUUGCGGAAGAUUUUCUGUUGCUAAUGACUGUAAGACUAAGGUGGACAGCGCUAUUUCUUUCAUGUUCUAUAGCUCAUACAUUAUUUUUUGGGUCAUCAAGCUCAUACAUCAUUCACCAUUGAUACCAGUUCUUAUUCGUUUUGUAGGAGGUGCUUGGAGCUGGUGUUGAGUAUUUGUUUGGGGACCUAUUUAAUCGUUGUUUGUUGUCUUAGUCAUUGAAGGAUUUAACAAACUUCAUUAGUAAUAGCUAACAGUGUUUCUCAUGACAUUUAAUGUAUACACAUAACACAACAUAUGCAGAACCAAAAGUAUCCCCUAUUGCCCUCCAACUCCAAGUAUUUGGUUUUUUGGCAGGAGCGGUUGUUAUGUUUAGAGGGCACCAAGGCAGUACAAGUGCAGUGAAGUUUCAGUCCCUAUCCCAACUACUGAGUUUUGGGGUGGUUUCGGGGCUCAAAGAGAGUGAUGCUCUGCCCAUUUAGUUUGCUUCCAAUUAACCUUUCAAAGCCAGUCUUUCUCGUGCGGUGUUGGGGACUCGAAAAGGCAGUGAAAGAGAUUGGAGCUAUUCAGAUGAAUCAAAAGGCAAGAAGUGAAUGAAAACAAGUGCCCCAGUGAAAGAAAACACUUCACGGUGGUCCAUUAAAUAAACUUGACGUACUUAAUCAAUUGCCAGAAAGAAGAAGCAAGGACGUAAGCCUUCAUAAGAUUACGACAAAUUGUGUAGCUGCUGCUGUACAAAACCAACUGGAGUUCACAAGUCAAAAUCACAAGCAGCAUUGGUAUAAAUCUGAAUUACAAUUCGUAUUCUUUGAAGGCACUUACAGUUGCUACAAAUAUAUACACCUAAAGUGAAGCAUUGGUUUUAGGGUUAAUGCUAAGUCUUCACAGCUAAAAAAACUUGGAUUGAUACACCAAUUUCUGUAACUAUGUGUGAGAACUGGGUAGAAUAUGACAUAGAAAAUAAGAGAAUUUGAACCAAAGGGCACCAAUGGAGCUUGCUAGCAGUGCAUGAGAAUACAGAGAAAAAACAAGCAUUGAUACACAAUUUCUGUUCAAUUAGCAUCUUACCUAUUUGCAUGAAGACCUACCAAGUACAUGUAAGUUACGUAACAUCACUCCAAAUCCUUGAAAAGUUUAGGGGUCAAUUUCAAAGUAAUAUCACCAUAAGGCUCUUUUUAUUGUACGUCCACAAGCCCAUGACUUUUUAAAACAUACCACAGUAAUUACCAACUUUUAUCACUAGCCAACUUCAAAGUAAUAUCACAUAUCUCCAAUUCUCAUGAAAAAGAACAGGUAGUUUGAAACAUGGAUAUUUCAAGCUGGGACAGCAAGAGCAAAUAGAUUAUUGCCAUGAGCAGAAUGCUUCAAAAUGUACAGUUUAAACUUAGGGGGUAUCAACUCAAAAAUAUCUUUCUCCCAAGUACUCGGGCAACCCUAUUCUGCCAUUUCCCUCUAUGAAUGGCCAGUGAGGAGCAAAUAGAUUAUUGCCAUGAGCAGAAUGCUUCAAUCGGUCCGCAUCAGAAUAGAUGUACAUCAUAACUGAUGAAAACAUUUCAAGUACUUUCCUAUUAGAAGUUUCAUGGUCAGUAGAAACCCAAACUACAGUAUAAACUAAAUGUACAAGUUCUUGCAAACCAUUCAUAUAGACCGACAAAAUGGUAUCAAUUUUCAAAGAUUACCAACACAAUAAACCACUAUUCUGGGGUUAACAACUCCAAUUUAGGGUUUCUCAAAUUUUCGAAUUAGGGGUUUCUCAAAUUUUAGGUUUUUUUUUUUGUUUUUGUUUUUGCAGCACAACAGUUUAGGGUUUCUCAAAUUGAAGCUCUCUAAUUGAUGAGGAUGAGGAGUAAAUAGUGGGGGUAAUCUAUCUACUUGAAACAAGGGGGGAGAGAGAGAGAGAGAUCUUUGUGGUGGGGGUAAGUACUCUGAAAUCGGUGGUGGUGGCGGUCGACGGAGGUGGGGGAGCUCCGGGAUUGGGUUGCGAUGGUCGCCGGUCGCCAGUGGUGGCAGUCGCGCCCUCUCUCUCUUCUCUGAAAUUUUGAGCGUC